ACGUGUUGGGACCCUCUCCAACAAGCUGGCCCCGUCGUCCCCUUCUUCCUCACCUCCGCAAGCCGAAGCGCGAUCAACUGCGCGCAGCCAUCCGCGUCGUCGCCAAUGCGUGAUCCACAACUGUCGCACCCCUCUGUGAGCAGUCAUUCCUCGCUGCCCCUUUAAUUUGCAUCUGCGUAGCCGUAGCGCUGCCAUGUCGAGUGUCAUCGUGGUGUCCAGUUCUGUCGCCGUGCAGAGCAGCAGCAGAUGCAGUAGCAGUGCUGCAGCAGUAGCAGGAGCAGCCGUAGAUCCCCUGUGUAGUGGCCAUGCAGAGCAGGUUGCAGUGCAGUGCAGUGCCUCGCCGUGGCCUCGUAGCCGUCGGCGAGCAUCUUUGUUGUAGAGAGGCACAUGGGACGUGGUGAUGUUAACACCACCGUGUUCCCCCUCUGACGAAAUCCCGCUCCAUAUCCCGACUGAUUGACCCACCACUCGAUGUCCAAGCGGUCGUGUGCUCGAGUCCCCCCACGAGGUGAUUUUCCAGUGUGGUGUGAGCAGGGAGGUGGUAGGUUCGAUCCCCCUCUCCCCACUUUUAGUUUUUCUCUGUUUUAUUCCCCUGCACUGUAGCUAGUGGCUGACAGUGGCCCACAUGGCCCACAUUACAUGCACUAGGGGGGUUGGUGCCUAUGCCAGUGGGACCCCUAUCAUAUUUAAUCUUUUGUAGUUAUUUUUAUUUGUGUGUGGAAUAUUUCUGAUUUGGAAUAUUUCUUGAUUUGGAAUAUGCCAAAUCUGGCAUACCCCAUUUUAGUCUCUGAUUUGACAUAUAAGUUAAAUAGGAUUUAGAGUGGAUUUUCGAAGUGCAGGGGAUAUAUGAUUUUGGGGGUAGAAAACCCAAGGAAUCCAAUGGUGGCAUUGGAUUUCACUUUUGAGCAAGUUUGUAAAAAUGUCAUUUUUUGAUGAGGUGGCAUUUUGUCAUUUUUGUAGUAUUAUUUCUGUGCAUGCUAUGAAGUUUGUGUCUACAUGAAAAUGAUUGCACUUUGUGGGUAAUAGACCAUGGUAUUUUUGUUUGGCAUGAUAAUCUUGUGGAUAAGUGGAUCCCUUUCUGUUUUCAAGUGAAGAAAAUAAUGUUGUUUGCAAAGCUAGAAAUAUUCGAAGUGUUGGAACUGUUAUUUUCUUUCCCUCUUGUGAGCAUGGUCCUCAUGGAUGUGUAGAUCUUUGGCGGUUGCACCAAUGGCAUGAAUUGUAGUGGUCGAAACCCUCUAAAAAUUGGUGCCACAAGUUUGUUCAUAGGAAUUUUCUACAUAGUUUAUUUCCUUGUCAAAGUUACUAUUCUGUUGAAAAUGGCAGCAAGUAAAAAUCUGUGAUUUUCACUAAGUCUGAUAUUCUACUAUUAUUAUCAUGCCUUGUUGAUUUGAUGGCAGCUAGCAUUCUGUGGGGUUUUAGCCCAAGCUAUAAACUAGUGAAUGGUUGAAUUUGUGUUCCUAUAUAUCUCUGCUAAAUUUCAUGCCAUGAAGUUCGCUAUAGGGUAUUAUUUUGUUGCUGUUAAAAUGCUUGAGGUUAUAAUCUCUCAGUGAAAAUCUGUGAUUUUCACCAAGUCAUAAUCUGCUAUAAUUUUUGCUACGUUUAGAGCUUGGUAGCCAUUGAUUCUUUUACCUAGUGAAUUAGCUAUUUGUUGAGUGUUGUAAUAAUGUUUAAUAGCUUUGAUUCCAUGUCUUGGUUGAAGCCAUUGGUUGGGUGUAGAUAAUUUAUUUCUUUUGAGCAAAGUGCUAAGAUACUGUUUGUGGACAGAUUGUGUGCUAUUUUGUUUUGGCCUUUGUGUGAGUUGUGCUUGAUGGAUUUGUACGUUAUUUAGCUCUAUUCCACCUGGAAUUUUAUGUUUAAUCUAGUGGCAACCUUGGAAUGCCAAGCGCAUGCCCAUAGCUACCGGUAUAUUGCUGUUUUGUCUCCAUAGCCUCUCGUAUCUUGUUUUGUGGUUUCCGGAGCUACGUAACUCGGUUCGCGACGUUCUUUAUAUGUUUUUGCACCGUCUUAUCAUGAUGCAUCCAUUUCUGACAUGUCCAUGCAUGUCAAAAUAAGUUAACUUGAGGUUCUGUCUAGAAUGUUAAAAAACUCUAAUGAUGCAUCAAAGAUGACUAGUAUAGCUAUGCCAUCCUUUCUUUCAUCACACCUGUUGGGGAUGUUAUCCCGUUAUAUGACCCGCCCUAGGGAGCCGGGUUAGGAUAAUGGCAGCUCAGUAUCCAUGUUCAAGAUGGGACGUGACCUGUGAAGCAGAAGACGUAAGACGUACGCUGUGAGAUUCGGUUGGCCCAAGACCCGAAGAAGGCGACUUACGACCCAUAUGGGAAAAGAGUCGCGUGAAGUUUCUUGCGUAAGGGACAAGGCGAGUUAGAGAUAUACCGGAUCACGAAUUGUAAUGAGAUCCAGACUCUUGUAAACCUAGAGCCUCGGCCUGUAUAUAAAGGCGAGUCUCUAGGGUUGAUAGGGCUAAGUUAACAUCAAUCGAGAGCUAGGUCACGCGAAUCCGCACCCUUGUAAUCGAUUUCCACAACAAUAUACACACAUCAAGACGUAGACUUUUACCUCAAUCUAAGGGGCCGAACCUAGAUAAACUCGUCUCCCAUUUUCCCGAUCAACCCCCUUGAGUCGCCACAUGGUUGCGAUGGCUUCACCACUAUGUCGUUUCAUGAGGACAUCUGUCGUGACAAAACCACGACAGUUGGCGCCCACUGUGGGGCUUGCGCACGGUGGAGUUGAGUUCUCGAAGGGAGCCCUUCCAGGGUUCGGGAGCUAUGCCGUUGGCCUCAUGACUAAGAGUCGUCGCGGAAAGUACUACAACGACAAUUCGAGCAGGGGUCCCGAGGCCGAUUCAAUCGAAUCAAGAUAUCGGGCCCCCUUCGGUAAGAUCCACGUCUUCAUCGGCAAGAUCGGAACGCCGGUUCCCGAGCCGGACAUCUACACCGACAUCAUCGAGCCGGCUCAGCUUGCCCAACCCGCCACGUAGCAGAUUCGACAACGUCGCGUCUUCAUCGGUUUCAUGCAAGGGGCCAGCCUCCCGGAUGAGCCGAAAGCUGGUGGAGAUACCCCCGUCAAUUCUGAUGGCGAGUCACCGAUCGGAGAUACUGACUCAAUCUAUCCUCUCUAUGAGGGAAGGCUUGGCGGUUUUCUUGAGGCGGCAAUCUCUGAAGGGCCGCAUGAACCACCCCGCCAAGUCUCCUUCUAUAUGGCAGGAGCCACGGCGGCUCAGGACCAGCGGAACGCGGCAACCGCCAAUGGGGCCAGCGGAUCACGGAAGACCCCGGCUCAAGCCAUGUGAGAUGUGAUGGCCGAGAUGUCAAAACUAAUGGCAGUAGCCGUGACGGCUGAUAACCAAGCGAAAGUUAACGCUGAAUUGACUAAACUUCGUGAAGAGGUGGCUCAGAUACAACGCCAGAUUGAUGCGGAGAAGACGCGGAUGGGGGAUCAGGAAGUUCAGACCGACGAAGAGGCGGAGCGUUUGAAAUUGAAGGCAAGGCCACUCGAACGCCAAUGAGUCGCGUCGGACGCUGUUUAUCAGAGAAGGUAUCAGAGUGGCGUCCCACCCAAGCUUUAUCCUACUCACCUGUUCAACAGCCCACAAACGCCGAUGCGGAUCAUAACCCACCACAUGAGAGCAAUCCAUAGGGUGAAAUUGUCCAGCAGCCAAUGCAUCCCCCGUUGAACCCGCAGGCGGCUCAGCACUUCCAAACACCUCAGGGUCACUUCUCUAACCCGAUGGAUAAUGUACUAGCUGCGACCCUCCACUUGGAAUCUCUUCCUAUUCGUGGGAAUACCGCGCUGGAGGUGGAGGCAAGGAUCUCCAUAGAGAUGUCAAAAACUACGGUGGUCCAGCUGGCGUAGUUUUCAUACAGUCGUGAUUAUCUGCACUCCACGCCGCAGGCAAGCCACAUGAAAAAUCGCCCAGAUUACCCUCCGGCGGUUUCCAGCGACAUUCAUCGACACCAACCUCAGAUCAAUCCAUCAGAGUCGCCAGCAUCAAAUGCUCACGCGCUUGUCAAUGGCGCACGAGCCGCCCGGCAGGGCGAGGCGAAGGCAGUGGCGGCCCUAGCGGGUCAGAGAGUUCCGCCUUAUGCCUAGUCGGCUCUUGGAUAUGGUGGGCAAGGAGAAAGGAAUGUAGGGGUCCCCUGCCUAUCUUUUUCUCUACGCAAGGAGCGCAUGUCCACAGACUUCAAAGGCCCCCGUAAGGUGCCAAACUAUACUCCUGAUAUUGAGCUAGGGGCAUGGGUUGAGAGUUAUGAACUGGCUAUGGAUAUGCAUGAUGCUAGUGACGCAGUCUGCACCAAGUACUUCACCAUGAUGUUGGAAGGGUUGGCUCGCACGUGGUUGAAGAAUUUACCGCCCAACUCCAUCAAUAGUUGGGUGAAACUCAAGGAGCGUUUCAUCAGAAACUUUCGAGGAACCUGCAAGCGCCUGAUGACUGUUGUAGAUCUCCAACACUGUGUUCAGCGGGCUGAUGAAUCUUCUCACCAUUGGACCAGGCGGGUUGCAGAAAUCAACCACUCCUUGGAUGACAUUACGGCGGCUCAGGCCAUUUUCAGCCCCUGGUGUUGAAGCUUGGCCGCCUCAAGUGGAAGGUGCAAGAUAUGGGCGAGUUGAUGGACACCCUCACCAGGUAUGCUGAGUCGGACGGCACGAAGGACGACGUACGGUUCUGAUGACGAGAAUGUCAGUGAAUCUAAAAGGGGUGAUUGAGCUAAGGGUCACUUCCAAAAUUUUGGGCGCAAUAACAACCAGGGAGGUCAAGGAAAAAGAAGGCAGCAGGAUGCCGUGUAUGACUUUGUUGCCGACACCAAUGCCGGUCUGGAGUCAAUGAUGGAACAUGCAUCAGGGUGGCUUUCAGGACCGGGCCUUUAGUGGGAGGAAGCCGCGCAAUUAUUAGGAGCUUCUCAAGGGACCUUGCCCUAAACAUAGUAUCCCAGGUGCCCCAUCUACUCACUCUUGGAAAAAGGUUUUUCUGAUGCAGGAGUUUCGUCUUCAGGCGUCUCGAGAUCACCAAGGAGGCAAUGAGGGAGCCUAGCAGGGUCAGUUUGGCCCGGGCGGGUCACGAGGUGCUUCGUUCAGUGACUUUCCUAACCCAGGGCCUCAGGGGCGAGGCGGCUCACAUCAUAAUGGUGGACAAUUAUCGGGCCAAGGUGGUCAGAGUACAAUGACCAGGGCGAGUUUGAGCAGCCGAACAACCAGGGCGGUUUCCAGAGUAACCCUAAGUAGUUGAAUGGUGGGCAAUACCAUGUUUUCACCAUGGAUACCUGCAAAAGAGAUAAGAAGGUAAAGCAGAGGGCCAUCAAUAUGGCUGAGUCGGCGGUUCCGAGAUACUUAAAUUGGUCUGAACAGCCUGUCACGUGGAGUAGGGUUCAUCACCCGCCUCAAAUUGAUAACCCUGGCGACUUUGCAUUAGUGGUGGCGCCUCAGGUUGGUGGAUACACGUUCUCUAAGGUCCUCAUGGAUGAGGGUAGCGUAUCAACAUAUUAUACUAUGACAUCUUUCGGCGGAUGAACUUUGAUGAGAAAGACUUAAUGCCCUCUACCACGGUUUUCCACGGCAUUGUUCCGGUGGUUGUUGAACGCAAGGAAGAAGGCAAAGAAUAUCAUGUUCAGUGACCGGUGUAUUUCGUUAGUGAGGUAUUGACCAUGUCCAAGAACCGGUAUCCACAUUGGCAGAAGUUGGUCUUUGGGAUCUUUAUGGCGAGUCGUAAGUUGAAGCACUACUUCUUGGAGCACCCAAUCACUGUGGUCAGUUCUGCACCGAUCGGAGAUAUGAUACAGAACCGCGAAGCCACUGGGCCGAUUGCCAAAUGGGGAGUAGAGCUUCGUCCUCAUCAUGUGAAGUAUAUGCCUCGCACAACCAUCAAGUCUCAUGCUCUGGUAGACUUCAUCAACGAUUGGACCGAGUUGCAGAUUCCGGAAGAUAGGCCUGAUAACACAUAUUGGACUAUCCAUUUUGAUGGCUCUAGUCAGUUGGAAGGCUUAGGAGCUGGAGUGGUGUUAUCAUCCCCAAGAGGAGACAAGUUUUGCUAUGUUCUCCGGCUCAUGUUUCCUUGCACAAACAAUGCAGCUGAGUAUGAAGCUUUGCUUCAUGGGCUCGGGAUAUAUAAGGAGAUGAACCUGAGUCAAGUCGGGUGCUUGGGCGACUCAGAUUUAGUGGCCUAGUAAGUGUCAGGAACUUGGGACUCUAAGGAUCCAUUGAUGGUGGCUUAUAGGCGUGUAGUAACCGAGGUGGCGGGUUAUUUCCAUGGCUAUCAGGUUGAUCAUAUCGAUCGUCGACAAAACGAGGCGGCUGAUGCUCUCUCCCGGCUUGGAUCACAAGGUAAGCCCGUUCCUCCCAAUGUAUUGUUGGAUGUCUUACAUAGUCCUUUUGUGAAGUUGCUUUCUGAAGAAGACAUGGCGGUUCCUGACCCGGAGUCAUAGUUGGUGGUGGCUCUCCGAGCAAUUCCUGACUGGAUGAUACCCUACAUGGCUUAUUUGGCUCGAGGCGAGUUGCCAACUAAUGAAGUUUUUGCUAGGAAAAUCGUGCGGCGAUGCAAGUCCAUGGUUAUACACACAUGCGAGUUGUACAAAUGAAGUACUUUUGGGGUUUUCCAGCAUUGUGUUUUGCCGGAAGAAGGGUGAGAUAUUCUCAACGAGAUACAUGCGAGCGAUUGUGGACACCACGUCGGGUCCCGAUCUUUGGUGUCAAAGGCUUUUUGCCAUGGUUUCUACUGGUUGACGGUUCAUGCCGAUGCAGAGGACAUAGUGCGUUGGUGUGAUGGAUGUCAGAAAUUUGGACGUCAGGCACAUGUGCCGACUCUGGAAUUGUGCAUGAUCCGCAUUACAUGGCCUUUCGCAGUUUGGGGGCUUGACAUGGUCGUCCCGUUUAUAAAGUCUUAUGACAAAAAGACCCAUCUGUUGGUGGCAGUUGAUAAAUUUACCAAGUGGGUUGAGGCAGAGCCGGUCAGCAAUUGUGAAGCAGAGAUGGCGGUUAAAUUCCUCAGGAAGUUGAUCUUCCGUUUUGGUUAUCCCCAUAGCAUCAUUACUGAUAAUGGUACUAAUUUGUCUAAGGGUGCAAUUAACGAGUUCUGUCAACGAGAGCACAUCCGUCUUGAUGUAUCCGUAGUAGCUCAUCCACAGUCUAAUGGUCAAGCUGAGCGGGCUAACCAGGAAAUCUUGCAAGGGAUUAAGCCUCGGCUCAUGGUUCCUCUACAGCGCACUCCGGGUUGUUGGGUCGAAGAACUUCCUUCUGUACUUUGGAGUAUCAGGACAACACCAAACAUAUCUACUGGUUACACUCCUUUUGUCCUUGUCUAUGAGGCAGAGGCGGUUCUCCCAAGUGAUAUAAGGCAUGAUUCUCCCAGAGUCGCCGCAUACAUCGAAACUCAUAAUGAGGAAGCAUGCCAGGAUUCUUUGGAUGCUCUCGAGGAGGAGCCUGAUUUGGCCACAACACGAUCGGCAAUCUACCAACAAGACCUGUGUUGUUCCCACAGUCGAGCGUCAAAAGUCAGGUCUUCCAAGAGGGCGACUUGGUGCUUCGAUUGAUUCAAGAUCAUACGGGUAUGCACAAGCUUUCACCUCCAUGGGAGGAACCAUUCGUCGUUAGCAGAAACCUCUACAACGGGGCAUAUUACUUGAUUGAUCUACGCCCUAACAAGACAACCACGGAGGAAGAGACAACCCGCCCGUGGAACAUUGCUCAUCUCUGGCCCUAUUAUACUUAGAGCCAUUGGCUCCUUAUCCAUGUACGUACUUAGAUAAUUGUGUACUCUUUACAUUACAUCAAUAAAGUCGGCGCCCAUGAAAUUCGGGGUCUUUGCCGUUUCAGCCUGUAUUUGAGCAUGAGUCUUUAUUGAUUAAAAUAAGCCGCCCAAGAGGAUGAGUCGUUGCCGGGGAGGCCAUCCAAACAUGGACGCUACUAGUAUCAAAGAGAGUGAGUCGCCCUAAUGUGAUCACUCCAACAUGGAUAUUAGUAAAGCCAAAGAGGAUCAAGUGCCAUGAUGCAUGGUUCAAACAUAGGCGCCUAUGUAUGAUCAUGAAUGAUAAAAACCGUCUUACUUGUGGCUACUAGUCCCCAAGUCUUUAGUAGUAGUAGUAUUGUCUUCUGCUAUCCUAUGCCCGUUUUUCCUUGAUCAUAGGUCAUUUGGGGGCUUAUGACUCAUUGAGUCCCGCCUUAGUACCCUCUUGGGUAGAGAAAAAUUAACGCAUUACAAUGGUUAUACUGGACUGUAUGGUUGGCGACCCGCCCAUAAGACCUGUGUACUCUUGGCAAGUCAAUCCAAUAUUGGACCGUGAACUUCCAAAGUUAAAACAUUGAGCUACUUGCGAGAGCCAGCAUAUGGAAAAUAGACAAACCAUGGGUUCACUGAACCUGCUUCCCUGAAACUUGACUUGAGCCUGAUCAGCCAGUCUAAACACAUAAAGGUUUUUGUAAAAACCUCUUAGGGUAUGACUAGAGCCUUGCAACACUACUGGAAUCUGCUGUUUUGCCGACAGCCAAAGCUGACGGCAACGACAUGUUUAACGGACGGCAAAGGCUUUGUCGUCAGUGUGCGGUCGGCAAAGAAGCCGGCCACGAUUUUAUUGGCAAUCACCUUCUUUGCCGUCAGCUGAAAAUCGAGCGAUGGCAAAGCCUUUGCCAUCAGCUUUGUGGCACGGGCCGACGGCACAGAGCAAUGGCGGCAACAACACAAGCCGAGCCCCGUUAGAGGGUUAACGGCAGGCUUUGCCGUUAGCUUGACGCUGGCGGACGGCAAAGUGUACUUCUGGUGGGCCAUACGUGUUAGGGAUGCUAUCAGCACUGACAUGUGGGUCCCCUCUUUGCCCACAGCCGGAGCACAGCUGACGUCAAAGCCGAAAACCUGGGUCCCCUCUUUGCCCACAGCCGAAGCACAACUGACGGCAAAGCCAAAAACCUAGGAAAAUUUGGUGUUCUCAAAGUUGCCAGGUUACACAGGUUGUCGCCACGUGUCCUUCUUUGCCGUCAGCCCACCAACGGCAUAGGCUUUGCCGUCAGUAAGCUGUAGGCAAAGACCCUCUCUGCUUUUUUUUAUAUUUGUUUUCUGUUAAUUCCCUACAUUUGGAAAACAUAGAUACAAACAACAAUAUAUAUAUUUUCCCAGGCCCUAAACAGCACCACAAGUCCAUCACAAAGUGCAAACAACACCACAAGUGCAUCACAAAGUGCAAACAACAACAAUAUAUGUAAUUAAAGUGCAAACAAGAUCACAAAGUAUUACAAAGCAUCACAAGUGCAUCCGCAAAUACAAGUGCAUUACGAAGUUCGUAUAAGACUACAUGAGUACAAUCCCUGGAGCAUCCAUCCAUAUGCCAUGCUACUUUAUCAAAAUCUGCAUAAUGAGAAAGAAGUUAGAAGAAGAAUACAAUAAGAAAGAAGUUAUCUAAAUUAAGCUAAGCAAUUAGAAGAAGAAGUGGAAGAAGAAGAAGAAGAACAAGAAGAAGAACAAGAAGAAGAAAAAGAAGAAGAAGAUGGAGAAAAAGAAAGAAGAGAAAAAGGAAGAAUAAGAAGAUUUUUCUUCUUAUUCUAUCUUUUUCUCCUCUUUCUUCUUCUCUUAUUUCUUCAUCUCUUCUUUGUUCUUCUCUUCUGGUUUAUUUUUAAACUUUCUAAACUAAUUAUGUCAUUUUUGAGCUCUAAUAUCAACUAAUUAUGCUAUUUUUUUUGUUAUCAAGUAAUUAUGUCAUUUUUGAAGUAAGUAAGCUAAUUAUGUAAUUUUUUAGGUAAGUAAGCUAAUUAUCAUCUAGAAUUUACUAAGUUAACUAAAGCAUGGCUAAUAUCAACUAGAAUUUACUAAGCUAACUAAAGCAUGGCAUAAUCUAAGUUGAUCUAAACAACAAGAAGAAUAAGAAGGAGAGGAAUAACUUACCGAAUGCCAAGUCACGGAGGAGAAGCACCAUCUCGGUUGGUCGCUAGGUUGCUAGGGCUGUCACCACGAAAAGUAAAGGGAUCGUGGGAUUCAACUUUGGAAUGAUGCUGCAACAAGGCAAGAGUUAAAAUAUGUGGUUAGCACGGCGACACACAAUGGUAUAAGACCAUGCAAGGUUGGUCAUUGAAAGGGAACUCACCGUUCCCACCGGAGAAGGCAUCGGCGGAGGGGGUGGCAAACCUUGCUUCUCACACAUAGCCUGCAAAUUAGUUUUUGAGGAGUCAAAGAAAUAGCCUUGUUGCUUCUCACACAACUGACUUACCGCAACGAAGUCGUGCAUCGCCUUCGCUUGGGCAUUAUUGCGUGCGCCCUCUCCUCCUCAAGCAACCUCUGCGUAUUUCGGUCCCUCUCCUCCAACAAGAGCCUGGUGGCCUCCCUCUCCUUCUCAAGUGUGGCUUGCAACCACUCCUCAAAAGGAAUUUUCAUCAUCUAUCCAGGAUAAAUAGACGAAAGAAAUAAUGAAGAAAACUAACCUCGAUGGCAAGAUCAACUGGCCUCGCGCGUUGCCGUAUUACAGGAGCGGAGCUCGUUUGCCUCGCCUUGAUCUGAGAUAGAGUCUCAGUGAUAGGGACGAAGCCAUCACACAUGGCGAGCGUGCCAUGACUCUUACCGCCACCAGAGAUCAUCAAUGCCUCCGGAUCGAUAGGAUUCUGGCUCGGGUCAAAGUCAGGCCCGCGCAGGUGUUUGACCACCUCAGAAUAAGAUGUCAUUUUGCUGUAGGCGGACAUGCUUGUGUACGCCGACGACCUGUCCCCCUCAGAAUAUGCCUUCGCCGUCUUGUACGAGCCCUUAUUGGCCAUGCUAAACGCGACGUAUCCCUGAGGCUCGGGCUGGUUAUUGUGUUUGGCCUACAAGAAAAGACAAAGAAUUAGUACAACAAAAAUCAUGAAUGAAUGAAUUAUUGAUGAAACAAAACAAGGCACUCAUACCCAGUUUAUGGCGUAUUGCUUGAUGUUGGCAUUGCCUUGGUGGUGUGGCAAACCAACCAAUUGGGCACACUGGUCCUUGGCCACAGUGUGGGUGCUUGACACGUCUCAAACGUAUCUAUAAUUUCUGAUGGUUUCAUGCUCUUAUCUUGUCAACUUUGGAUGUUUUAUGUACCUUUUAUAUCUUUUUUGGGACUAACUUAUUAAUUCAGUGCCAAGUGCCAGUUCCUGUUUUUUCUGUGUUUUUGACUCUUUUCAGAUCUGAUUUUGGAACGGAGUCCAAACGGAAUAAAAUCCCUGAAAUAAUUUUUUCCAGAAAGGAAGAAGAUCACGGGACUUGAGGGCCAAGGCAGGAGAGCCACAGGGGGCCCACAAGCCCUGUAGCCACCACCAGGGGGGUGGCGGCUACCAGGCUUGUGGCCUCCCUGGCGCCCCCCUGACCUAGCUCCUUCGCCUAUAUAUUCCCUAAAAUACAGAAAAAAUAGGGGAAGCCACGAAAACACUUUUCCGCCGCCGCAAGCUUCCGUUUCCACAAGAUCUCAUCUGGAGACCCUUCUCGGUGCCCUGCUGGAGGGGACUUUGGAGUUGGAGGGCUUCUACAUCAACAUCAUCGGCCCUCCAAUGACUCAUGAGUAGUUCACUUCAGACCUACGGGUCCGUAGUUAGUAGCUAGAUGGCUUCUUCUCUCUCUUGGAUCUUCAAUACAAAGUUCUUCCUGAUCUUCAUGGAGAUCUAUCCGAUGUAAUCCUCUUUGGCGGUGUGUUUGUCGAGAACCGAUGAAUUGUGGAUUCGUGAUCAGAUUAUCUAUGAUAUAUAUUUGAGUCUUUGUUGAUUUCUUAUAUGCAUGAUUUGAUAUCCC
rnacentral:lncRNA from 1 species